GACGAACGCUGGCGGCGUGCCUAACACAUGCAAGUCGAGCGAAGUGAGUACUACGGUACGAACUUAGCGGCGGACGGGUGAGUAACGCGUGGACAAUCUACCCUGUAGACUGGGAUAACACCUCGAAAGGGGUGCUAAUACCGGAUAAUGUCGAGAAGCGGCAUCGCUUUUCGAAGAAAGGAGAGAAUCCGCUAUAGGAGGAGUCCGCGUCCCAUUAGCUAGUUGGUGAGGGUAACGGCCCACCAAGGCGACGAUGGGUAGCCGGCCUGAGCGGGUGAACGGCCACACUGGAACUGAGACACGGUCCAGAAUCCUACGGGAGGCAGCAGUGGGGAAUAUUGUGCAAUGGGGGAAACCCUGACACAGCAACGCCGCGUGAGCGAAGAAGGCCUUCGGGUUGUAAAGCUCAAUAGUAUGGGAAGAUAAUGACGGUACCAUACGAAAGCCCCGGCUAACUACGUGCCAGCCGCCGCAGUAAAAC
rnacentral:rRNA from 1 species